UCUCCGUAGGUGAACCUGCGGAGGGAUCAUUACAGAGUUCAUGCCCUACCGGGUAGAUCUCCCACCCUAUGUUAUUAUUACUUUGUUGCUUUGGCGGGCCGUUAGGCUCCGGCCCGACUACCGGCCCCGGCUGUUAGCGCCCGCCAGAGGACCCAAAACCCUGAAUAUUAGUGUCGUCUGAGUACUAUAUAAUAGUUAAAACUUUCAACAACGGAUCUCUUGGUUCUG
rnacentral:misc_RNA from 1 species